rnacentral:rRNA from 1 species
UACGUAGGGUCCGAGCGUUGUCCGGAAUUACUGGGCGUAAAGAGCUCGUAGGUGGUUUGUCGCGUUGUUCGUGAAAACUCACAGCUUAACUGUGGGCGUGCGGGCGAUACGGGCAGACUGGAGUACUGCAGGGGAGACUGGAAUUCCUGGUGUAGCGGUGGAAUGCGCAGAUAUCAGGAGGAACACCGGUGGCGAAGGCGGGUCUCUGGGCAGUAACUGACGCUGAGGAGCGAAAGUGUGGGGAGCGAACAGG